rnacentral:rRNA from 1 species
GUGGCGGAACGGGUGAGUAACGCGUGAGGAACCUUGCCUCAAAGAGGGGGACAACAGUUGGAAACGACUGCUAAUACCGCAUAAGCCCACGGCUCGGCAUCGAGCAGAGGGAAAAGGAGUGAUCCGCUUUGAGAUGGCCUCGCGUCCGAUUAGCUGGUUGGUGAGGUAACGGCCCACCAAGGCGACGAUCGGUAGCCGGACUGAGAGGUUGAACGGCCACAUUGGGACUGAGACACGGCCCAGACUCCUACGGGAGGCAGCAGUGGGGAAUAUUGCACAAUGGGGGAAACCCUGAUGCAGCGACGCCGCGUGGAGGAAGAAGGUCUUCGGAUUGUAAACUCCUGUUGUUGAGGAAGAUAAUGACGGUACUCAACAAGGAAGUGACGGCUAACUACGUGCCAGCAGCCGCGGUAAAACGUAGGUCACAAGCGUUGUCCGGAAUUACUGGGUGUAAAGGGAGCGCAGGCGGGAGGACAAGUUGGAAGUGGAAUCCAUGGGCUCAACCCAUGAACUGCUUUCAAAACUGUUUUUCUUGAGUAGUGCAGAGGUAGGCGGAAUUCCCGGUGUAGCGGUGGAAUGCGUAGAUAUCGGGAGGAACACCAGUGGCGAAGGCGGCCUACUGGGCACCAACUGACGCUGAGGCUCGAAAGUGUGGGUAGCAAACAGGAUUAGAUACCCUGGUAGUCCACACCGUAAACGAUGAUUACUAGGUGUUGGAGG